rnacentral:rRNA from 1 species
GAUGAACGCUGGCGGCGUGCCUAAUACAUGCAAGUCGAGCGAACAGACGAGGAGCUUGCUCCUCUGACGUUAGCGGCGGACGGGUGAGUAACACGUGGAUAACCCACCUAUAAGACUGGGAUAACUUCGGGAAACCGGAGCUAAUACCGGAUAAUAUUUUGAACAACAUGGUUCAAUAGUGAAUGACGGUGUUGCUGUCACUUAUAGAUAGCUCGGCGCCGGAUUAGAGAGUUGGUAAGGUAACGGCUUACCAAGGCAACGAUGCGUAGCCGACCUGAGAGCGUUAACGGCCACACUGGAACGGAGACACGGCCCAGCUGCCUACGGGAGGCAGCAGUGGGGAAUCCGCCGCACUGGGGUAAAGCUUGACGGAGCAACGCCGCGUGAGUGAUGAAGGUCUUCGGAUCGUAAAACUCUGUUAUUAGGGAAGAACAAAUGUGUAAGUAACUAUGCACGUCUUGACGGUACCUAAUCAGAAAGCAACGGCUAACUACGUG